rnacentral:rRNA from 1 species
AACGCGAAGAACCUUACCAGGUCUUGACAUCCCUUGCAUAGCCUAGAGAUAGGUGAAGCCCUUCGGGGCAAGGAGACAGGUGGUGCAUGGUUGUCGUCAGCUCGUGUCGUGAGAUGUUGGGUUAAGUCCCGCAACGAGCGCAACCCUUACUAUUAGUUGCUACGCAAGAGCACUCUAAUGGGACUGCCGUUGACAAAACGGAGGAAGGUGGGGAUGACGUCAAAUCAUCAUGCCCUUUAUGAUUUGGGCUACACACGUGCUACAAUGGUGAUUACAAAGUGAAGCAACAGGGUGACCUUGAGCAAACCACAAAAAAAUCAUCUCAGUUCGGAUUGUAGUCUGCAACUCGACUACAUGAAGCUGGAAUCGCUAGUAAUCGCGAAUCAGAAUGUCGCGGUGAAUACGUUCCCGGGUCUUGUACACACCG